AUAAUAUAUAUAUAUAUAUAUAUAUAUAUAUGUGUGUGUGUAAUUGAGUAAGCUAAGUAAAGAAGACAAAGAAGAAGAGAGGUCGGUUGAGGGAGAGUAAAAGAGAAAUAAAAGAGCAAAGGAAAGGAAAACAAAGAGAAAACCGUGCGUGAGAAAGAAAGUGAGAGGAGGGAGAGAGCUGAGUUGAGGGGCUGUUUUUGCUACCAUUCAAGAAGGAAAAGAGAGCCAUUUAAGGGCUAGUUUCGGAGGCUGAAAAGUGCCAUUUUUUUGCUAAUUUUGGAGGCCAAAAAGUGCAGAUUUGCUGUUGAUUUUGGAGGCCAAAAAGUGUAAAUUUUUGCAACAGAAUUUGAAGGUUUUGAGGUGCUGUUUUGAUGGUUAAUUGUGGUUGUUUUGGCUGCAAAUUCUUGGAGGGAAAAGUGCAGCUUAGCUGCUGAAUUUUUGAGGAAAAACAAAGCAGCAUAGCUGCUGAUUUUGAAGCAAAAAUAAGCAACCUUAGCUAUUGAAAAAUUUAAAAGUUGAAAGGCAAGAAAGGGUGACCGGUGGUGAGAGGGAGAAAGUGGAAGAGAGUGGGACAGUUUGUGCAUGUGAAGAGAAGAAAAAGAAAGACAAACAAGGCUGCAGGACGGUGGGAGAGAAAGAAAGAAAGAAAGAAACGAAAAGAAAAGAAAAGAAAAGAAAAGAAAAGAAAGGAAAAGAAAAUAAUAAGAAAGGGAAAUGGGCAUGGCCCAACAAAAUAGAAAAUUGGACAUGGCCCAAUAAAGGAAGAAUGGGCAUGGCCCAAUUAAAAAGAAAUGGGAGAAGUCCAUGAAGAAGAGUCCAAAAACACCAAAGGAAGAAAAAUCCAAAAGAAAAGGAAGGUGGAGAUUUGGGCCAACCUAACUUAAUUGGGUAAAAUUCUUUACUCUUCUCCAUGACUUAUUAUGAAAUUGGACUAUAUGGAGGCUAGCUUAUUUUAUUUAAUUAUACAUUGGUUAGUUGGUGAUAGGAAAUAAAUUUAAGUUGCUUAGAAGGUUGAAAUAGGCACUUAAUACCGUAAAUAAGUUACCGCUGUUAAUAAUCUAAAGAAUUACGUGAGUAAAGGAUGCAAUUAAUUAUAGUAAAAAUAUAUUAAGAUGUGAAUUAGGUGAGUGGAUUUAUAAUAGAAUGAGAGGAAGAGAAGUGAAAUUAAUGCACUAAAUAUAGUGGAUUUAAAUUAUGCUAGGAAAGUUAAUGUGGAAGCAUGUCGAGCAAAGUAUAUGAUUGGCAAUUAGGAGUAAUUGUACGCGUAUACGAAACAAUAACGACGUAGAAAUCCCGCUAUUGUGAAGUGAGUAACCUUACCAUCAUUUUAAUUAUCUAAAGUAUGUUUUUAAUCGAUUUUGGUGAAAUUUUAUGAAAAUGAAAUUACAUGGUAAAUCUUGGUGUUUUACAAACAAAAUGUGUUUACAUGAAAAGAUUUUAUAAAUUGUCUUGAAAUUGAAAAAUGAUUUUGAAAAACAGAGUAAUUGGAGACCAUUUAUUAUGUUGUAAAAUUUAUGAUUUGAAUCGAAUGGCUUAUGACAAUAUUUGCAUGAAUGGCUGAAUUGAUAUUUGUGUUGAAAUAUAUGAAAUAUAUAUUUAGCCUUGAAAGGCUGUGAAUUGCAAUAAUUGCCAUAUCAUGUUAUUGAAUUUUAUUGUAUGGUGGGAUAAUUAUUAGCUUACUGCAGUAGGCGGGUUCCGUAGACCAGCCUAUGAAAGGGGCACAGUAACCCCGUUUAUAUGUGCUCACCUCGGUUGUAGAGGCGCGUAGGGUAGCUCCUGAGGUGAUAUUUGAGUUCACUUUACGCCGAACCACCACGUAAUGGUGAACUCAGCCAACGCCAAGGAACAAUUGUGUUUUUCUCAAACUAAAAAUUUGUUUACGUGUAUACAAAAUUUUAACAGCCUUGGCGGGCUCGAGUGUAUGCCUCUGAUCAAGGUGUCGUCGAGUACUAUUUGAUGGCAUGAGCCAAAUGUUUAUAGAAGUCAUAAGCCUAAAUGAGAAAUUAAAUGAAAUACAACCGUUUGCAUGGGUUGGGAUGAAUUUUCAAAUUGUGAAAUACGUAUUAUGAUGGGAUAUUUUGAUUGUCUCCUUUUACUCGGCUUUAGCUUAUUUAAAUGGUGUUUGUUUACUCACUGAGAUUUUAUAAUCUCAUCAUCCUCCUUCCCACCCAUUUCAGGAUCAGAGUAGGUUGUAGAUAGCUGGUUCCAUCGGGGGAUUUCCAUUGGAUUUACGUCUCCCAAACUGUAGGUUCACAGUUUCUUUAAUUCUGGUUAUUGUGGGCCCACUUGAUAUUGUAAAUUUAAAUUAAUUUAAAUACUCUGGUUUAUUGCGUUACAGUAUGAAUGAAUUUAUUUUGUUUUUAUGCUACG
rnacentral:lncRNA from 1 species